rnacentral:rRNA from 1 species
CGGACGAGUGGCGAACGGGUGAGUAAUAUAUCGGAACGUGCCCAGUAGUGGGGGAUAGCCCGGCGAAAGCCGGAUUAAUACCGCAUACGACCUACGGGUGAAAGCGGGGGAUCGUAAGACCUCGCGCUAUUGGAGCGGCCGAUAUCAGAUUAGGUAGUUGGUGGGGUAAAAGCCUACCAAGCCGACGAUCUGUAGCUGGUCUGAGAGGACGACCAGCCACACUGGGACUGAGACACGGCCCAG